rnacentral:rRNA from 1 species
CUUGAUAAAGUAUAAGAGGUCCAGCCUGCCCAGUGAAAAAUUCAACGGCCGCGGUACACUGACCGUGCAAAGGUAGCAUAAUCACUCGCCCCUUAAUUAGGGGCCUGUAUCAACGGCAUCUCGAGGGUUAUUCUGUCUCCUUUUUCUAAUCAGUGAAACUGAUCUACCCGUGAAAAAGCGGGUAUCUAGCUAUAAGACGAGAAGACCCCAUGGAGCUUCAAACCAAAAGCAAAUUAAACUUAUAUACCACUGUAACCUCUAUAUGAUGCGUAUCGGUUUUAGGUUGGGGCAACCGCGGAGAAAAAUUUAACCUCCACAACGAAAAGACCUUAGUCUUUAUUCCAGAGCUACCGCUCUAAGAACUAGAAUACUAACGGAUAAUGAUCCAAUUUUGUAAUUGAUCAACGGACCA